GAGUUUCUUUUGCUUGCUGGCCCCCAUACCAAACUUAGAACGAUACAGAGAAGAUUAGCACGGCCCAUGCACAAAGAGUUUCUUUUGCCAUGCAAACCCAUUUUUA